rnacentral:rRNA from 1 species
CGUUUUUUGAUUAUAAUUUAAGAUUUAUUCUGCUCAAUGAAAAUUUAAAUAGCCGCAGUAUUUUAACUGUGCAAAGGUAGCAUAAUAAUUUGUUUAUUAAUUGUAAACUGGAAUGAAAGAAUAGAUAAAAUAUUUACUUUAUUAAUAUUAUAAAUAUAAAGUUAAUUUUUUAGUAAAAAAGCUAAAAUUUUUUAUUGGGACGAGAAGACCUUAUAGAAUUUUAUAUUAUAAUGAAUAUUUUAAAUUAAUAUAUUUUUAUAUAUUUAUUAUAUUAAUUUAUUGGGAGGAUAAUUAAAUUUUUAAACUUUAAUAUAAUUAACCAAAGAUAAAUGAAGAUUGGAUUUUAUAUAUAAAAUUUUAGAAAAAUUACCUUAGGGAUAACAGUGUAAUAUUUUUAGAAAGUUCUUAUUGAUAAAAAUGUUUAUAACCUCGAUGUUGAAUUUAGAUUAAUUUAAAUAGAAGUUUGUUUAAAUUUUAGUCUGUUCGACUAUUAAAAUCUAACAU